AUCCCAACUUCCUGUUAUCACCAAAUUCCAAGUCAAAGCAUUUUUAGCCUGUGUUUAGACACUGUAAACACAUUCUCUGAGACUCUUCCUGUGUGCCUGUGUGUCUGUCUCUCUGUGCAUCUCUGUCUCUGUCUCUGUCUCUGUCUCUGUCUCUGACUCCCUCUCUCUGUCAGGAAUAUUGCAGCAUGACUGGGAAGCCUGUCCUUCAUUACUUCAAUUGAAGAAGAAGAAUGGAGUCCAUCCGGUGGCUCCUGGCAGCAGCUGGAGUAGAGUUUGAGGAAGAACUUUUUGAAACCCAUGAAGAGUUUGAGAAGUUAAUCCAAGGUGGAACCCUGAUGUACGAGCAAGUGCCCAUGGUGGAAAUCGAUGGAAUGACUUUGGUGCAGACCAGUGCCAUCUUAAGAUAUGUAGCUGCAAAAUAUGACUUGUAUGGAAGGAACCUGGAGGAACAAGCCUGAAGAGAAGGAGAUGAACCUUGAAUACAUCCUCCACCGAGCUACAACAAGAUUCUUCCCCGUUUAUGAGAAGGCCCUGAGAGACCACGGGCAAGACUUUCUUGUGGGCAAUCGGCUGAGCUUGGCUGAUGUCCAGCUCCUUGAAGUCAUCUUAAUGGCUGAAGAAUGCAAAGCCAGUGUUCUCUCGGGUUUCCCUCUGCUACAGGACUUCAAGGUGAGAACCAGCCAAAUUCCUACAAUUAACAGCUUCCUCCAACCUGGAAGCCAGAGGAAGCCUCCUUUGGAGGAGCGAUCCAUUGGGACUGCAAAGGACAUAUUCAAAUUUGAAUGAGGACUGUUUCUUAAAAACAUGAGCAAUAUAGUAGCUGAGUAUUAACAGCUACAGAGGCUGGAGUUACUCAGUAAGUAUACUGAGUAACUUGACACUGCAUUCAUAAAAAGACACUCACUAAGUAUAUGGCCAGAGAAAUAUCCUGAAGUUAGUAAUAAAUGUUAGGAAUCUUAGUAUGUUAGCAAUGUUAGAAUGUUAGUAAUGGAAAUAUUAAAUGUGUAAGAGAAAAACUACUAGAAGCUUAUCAAUAAACUACAAGAACCAACUCUUGUUUGAAGUAAGACAGGCUACCAAGACAGAAUUCAGAAAAUCCAAGGAGCCCUCGGCCUUCUGUAUGAUCCUAGAAUAAACUUGUAUGUAGCAAGUGAAA
rnacentral:lncRNA from 1 species